UGCUCGAAGGCGCGGGUAUCAAACAGGAUUAGAUACCCUGGUAGUCCGCGCAGUAAACGAUGGACACUCGCGGUUUGGCCCCUGCGGCUGAGCCGCCCAGCGAAAGCGUUAAGUGUCCCACCUGGGGAGUACGCCGGCAACGGUGAAACUCAAAGGAAUUGACGGGGGCCCGCACAAGCGGAGGAACAUGUGGUUUAAUUCGAUGAUACGCGAGGAACCUUACCCGGGCUUGAAAUGUGCAUGACGGGAGGCAGAGACGCCUCCUUCCUUCGGGCAUGCAUGUAGGUGCUGCAUGGUUGUCGUCAGCUCGUGCCGUGAGGUGUCGGCUUAAGUGCCAUAACGAGCGCAACCCCUUCCGCCGGUUACCAUCGGGUCAUGCCGGGGACUCCGGCGGCACUGCCGCCGCAAGGCGCGAGGAAGGCGGGGAUGACGUCAAAUCAGCACGGCCCUUACGUCCGGGGCCACACACGUGUUACAAUGGGGGGCACAGCGAGCUGGACCAGGGCGACCUGGUUCGAAUCAUGAAAUCCCCUCCCAGCUCGGACUGGAGUCUGCAACCCGACUCCACGAAGCCGGAUUCGCUAGUAAUCGCGCAUCAGCC
rnacentral:rRNA from 1 species